UACGUAGGGUGCGAGCGUUAAUCGGAAUUACUGGGCGUAAAGCGUGCGCAGGCGGUUUUGUAAGCCAGAUGCGAAAUCCCCGGGCUUAACCUGGGAAUGGCAUUCGGGACUGCAAGGCUGGAGUGCGGCAGAGGAGACUGGAAUUCCUGGUGUAGCAGUGAAAUGCGUAGAUAUCAGGAGGAACACCGAUGGCGAAGGCAGGUCUCUGGGCUGACACUGACGCUCAUGCACGAAAGCGUGGGGAGCAAACAGG
rnacentral:rRNA from 1 species